CCAAACCAGAUUGGCUCAGUCACCACUAGCCCUCUGAACCCUGGAAGCUUGGUUGGUCUCCCAGCUGGGGCAGCCACCGUGACGACUUCGCCCAUCUAUGACUGCAAAGCCCAGCAAGGUGGAUUAUCCCAACCCGGAAGUGUGAGAACAUUACCACCCAGAUGCCUCUCCAGGGACCUCUCCUGUGAUUAAACAACCACUGUAAAGUUUCCUCGAAGCCAUGGCCAGCUCGCAUGGCCCCUGGAAUGGCACCUCAGAUGGGAGUUGCAGACACAAAACUUGAUGUUGGCCAGCAGCUAGCAAAAAUGAUUAAAGC